rnacentral:tRNA from 1 species
UCUAACGUGGCAGAUAAGUGCGGUGGAUUUAAGCUCCACAAAUAAAGUCUCAAACUUUCAUUAGAA